GGCGCGAUGCCGGUCUAAGUUCCUUGGAACAGGACGUCGCAGAGGGUGAGAAUCCCGUACGCGACCGGCGAUCAAGCCUGUGUGAAGCCCCUUCGACGAGUCGAGUUGUUUGGGAAUGCAGCUCAAAAAUGGGUGGUAAAUUUCAUCUAAAGCUAAAUAUUGGCCAGAGACCGAUAGCGGACAAGUAGAGUGAUCGAAAGACGAAAAGCACUUUGGAAAGAGAGUCAAACAGUACGUGAAAUUGUUGAAAGGGAAGCGCUUGCAAUCAGACCGGUCCGGAGGCGAUCAGCCGCUGCUCGUUCAGCGGUGCACUCGCCUGCGAUCCGGCCAGCAUCGGUUUGGGUGGCGGGACAAAAGUCCCGGGAAUGUAGCUUCUCUCGGGGAGUCUUAUAGCCCGGGUCGCAAUGCCGCCUGCCUGGACCGAGGACCGCGCUCGGCUAGGA
rnacentral:rRNA from 1 species